CACGUAGGCACCAAGCGUUGUCCGGAUUUAUUGGGCGUAAAGAGCUCGUAGGCGGUUCAGUAAGUCGGGUGUGAAAACUCUGGGCUUAACCCAGAGCCGCCACUCGAUACUGCUGUGACUUGAGUUCGGUAGGGGAGCAGGGAAUUCCUAGUGUAGCGGUGAAAUGCGCAGAUAUUAGGAGGAACACCGAUGGCGAAGGCAGGUCUCUGGGCAUUAACUGACGCUGAGGAGCGAAAGCAUGGGGAGCGAACAGG
rnacentral:rRNA from 1 species